CUAGCCCUAAACGAUGUAGACUUGGCGUCGGUGGCUUAAUCGUCAUCGGUGUCGUAGCUAACGCGAUAAGUCUACCGCCUGGGGACUACGGCCGCAAGGUUAAAACUCAAAGGAAUUGACGGGUCCCCGCACAAGCAGCGGAGCGUGUGGUUUAAUUCGUUGCUACACGAAGAACCUUACCUGGGUUUGACAUAGCAGUGGUAGGAAUACGAAAGUGGACCGACCCUUCGGGGAGCUGUUACAGGUGU
rnacentral:rRNA from 1 species